rnacentral:rRNA from 1 species
UUAAUGAGAGUUUGAUCCUGGCUCAGGACGAACGCUGGCGGCGUGCCUAAUACAUGCAAGUAGAACGCUGAUGUUUGGUGUUUACACUAGACUGAUGAGUUGCGAACGGGUGAGUAACG